GUCGUGUGUGGUUGGUUUUGGUCUCUGAUAUGGGGUUGCGUUUCUAGCCGUGCAAGGUGGUUGACCUCUUGUCAUUCAUACUCAUAAGGGGGAUGUUCAUAUCGUUCUAAUGUAUUUGCUUGCUCGAUACCUGGCUAGCUACGUAAUAUCGUGACAAUUAAAAAAAAAAAUAUAUAAUAUCGUGACAAUUUCAUAUGUGAAUCCACUAGCCAGUAAGAAAUGUACUCUGAUGUUGGCCAUAUGAGAUGUAGUUAGUUUAGGUCAUGUCCUCAUCGAGCUAGCAAGACGUUAACCUCGUUAGCCACCUUUUUUCCACAAGAGAAUAAUGGACAUUUUAAUUUGACAUGAAGCAUCUUUUCAUCCAUUUUUUUUUUUUUACAAUCAGAAACAUACAAGCAGAAUAUUUCAUGCAAUCCUCUCAUUGGCAGAAUUGACAUCUUUCUGAUUGAGCUGAUUUUUAUUUUAUUUUUAAUGUAUUUUAUUUUAACAGUAACAUGCAAAACAUAAACAUAACAGCCAGAGGGAUUCCAAAGAAAUGAGAAAUAAAUAAAACUAUUCCACAUUAUAUCAAAUCAAAUACAGACAUAUAGCGAAUACAUUUUUUUGACAUUUUGUUUUGAAUACGUUUUAAAGACUCUAAUUAGUUUUCCACAUCAGAUAAAAAAAUUAAGAAAAGGGGCUUUUUCUUCAUAAAUGUUGAUUUGUGGAUUAAACAUUUUCCUAAUAAAAUAAAGAGAUUUAUGACAUACUCACGUUCAAUUGUGGAAUCAGCGUAGUAAAAUAAUAUGUCAAACUUAGACAUUUCAAUGGUUGUAUGCAAUUAGAGGCCAAGAUAUAGUUUUACAUCAAUCCAGAACACUUCACUAUAUAAACAAUUACAGAAUAAGUGUUCAAUAGAUUCAGUUUCUAGUUCACAAAAACUGCAUUCACUGGUAACAUUAAGUAUGUAUUUAGAAAUCAAACUAUUACAUGGAUAGAAUCUAUGGAUUAUCUUAAAGGAGAUCUCCUUUACUUUAUUGGUCACCAUAAAUCUGUGUGGAGUGAACCAAGCACGGCGUCAGUUUACAUCAAAUGAUGAAGCCCAACAAAAUAUCGCAGAGGGAAUAGACUUCCUGUAGAAAAUAGAACCUGAUCUGUUUACAUGGGCGAACUGGAAAUAAUAUUUAGAGUGUGUUCGUCAAUCCAAUCUGGAGCGGCAGAGUUUCGCUCUCGGGUUAUUCAGAGAGCACAGUGGAGGAGUAGGAUUAAUCCGGUUAUUCAGAGUGGAGGAGUAGGAUUAAUCCGGUUAUUCAGAGUGGAGGAGUAGGAUUAAUCCGGUUAUUCAGAGUGGAGGAGUAGGAUUAAUCCGGUUAUUCAGAGUGGAGGAGUAGGAUUAAUCCGGUUAUUCAGAGUGGAGGAGUAGGAUUAAUCCGGUUAUUCGGAGUGGAGGAGUAGGAUUAAUCCGGUUAUUCGGAGUGGAGGAGUAGGAUUAAUCCGGUUAUUCGGAGUGGAGGAGUAGGAUUAAUCCGGUUAUUCGGAGUGGAGGAGUAGAAUUAAUCCGGUUACUCGGAGUGGAGGAGUAGGAUUAAUCCGGUUACUCGGAGUGGAGGAGUAGGAUUAAUCCGGUUACUCGGAGUGGAGGAGUAGGAUUAAUCCGGUUACUCGGAGUGGAGGAGUAGGAUUAAUCCGGUUACUCGGAGUGGAGGAGUAGGAUUAAUCCGGUUACUCGGAGUGGAGGAGUAGGAUUAAUCCGGUUACUCGGAGUGGAGGAGUAGGAUUAAUCCGGUUACUCGGAGUGGAGGAGUAGGAUUAAUCCGGUUACUCGGAGUGGAGGAGUAGGAUUAAUCCGGUUACUCGGAGUGGAGGAGUAGGAUUAAUCCGGUUACUCGGAGUGGAGGAGUAGGAUUAAUCCGGUUACUCGGAGUGGAGGAGUAGGAUUAAUCCGGUUAUUCGGAGUGGAGGAGUAGGAUUAAUCCGGUUAUUCAGAGUGGACGCCCUGGUGGAGGAGUAGGAUUAAUCCGGUUAUUCAGAGUGGAGGAGUAGGAUUAAUCCGGUUAUUCAGAGUGGAGGAGUAGGAUUAAUCCGGUUAUUCAGAGUGGAGGAGUAGGAUUAAUCCGGUUAUUCAGAGUGGAGGAGGAGGAUUAAUCUGGUUAUUCAGAGUGGAGGAGGAGGAUUAAUCUGGUUAUUCAGAGUGGAGGAGGAGGAUUAAUCUGGUUAUUCGGAGUGGAGGAGUAGGAUUAAUCCGGUUAUUCAGAGUGGAGGAGUAGGAUUAAUCCGGUUAUUCGGAGUGGAGGAGUAGGAUUAAUCCGGUUAUUCGGAGUGGAGGAGUAGGAUUAAUCCGGUUAUUCAGAGUGGAGGAGGAGGAUUAAUCUGGUUAUUCAGAGUGGAGGAGGAGGAUUAAUCUGGUUAUUCAGAGUGGAGGAGGAGGAUUAAUCUGGUUAUUCAGAGCGCACAGUGGAGGAGGAGGAUUAAUCCGGUUAUUCAGAGCGCACAGUGGAGGAGGAGGAUUAAUCCGGUUAUUCAGAGCGCACAGUGGAGGAGGAGGAUUAAUCCGGUUAUUCAGAGUGGAGGAGUAUGAUUAAUCCAGUUAUUCAGAGAGCACAGUGGAGGAGGAUUAAUCCGGUUAUUCAGAGUGGAGGAGUAGGAUUAAUCCGGUUAUUCAGAGUGGAGGAGUAGGAUUAAUCCGGUUAUUCACAGUGGACGCCCUGGUGGAGGAGUAGGAUUAAUCCGGUUAUUCACAGUGGACGCCCUGGUGGAGGAGUAGGAUUAAUCCGGUUAUUCACAGUGGACGCCCUGGUGGAGGAGUAGGAUUAAUCCGGUUAUUCACAGUGGAGGAGGAGGAUUAAUCCGGUUAUUCACAGUGGACGCCCUGGUGGAGGAGGAGGAUUAAUCCGGUUAUUCACAGUGGACGCCCUGGUGGAGGAGGAGGAUUAAUCCGGUUAUUCACAGUGGACGCCCUGGUGGAGGAGGAGGAUUAAUCCGGUUAUUCAGAGAGCACAGUGGACGCCCUGGUGGAGGAUUAAUCCGAGCGUUUAGACCUCACAACGGCAGUCAUGCAGCCAAGCUAAUUGGCUAACGUUGGAUGGCUUGCUAGCUACACAAAUGAGAGAACACUUCCCUCUGACCAUUUUACUCUCCCUAGCAGAGCUGGUUAGGCUGUUUGUAUUUUAUCCAGAGCGUUGGUGACUAAUUGCUGCUGGUAACAAUUUAAUUACUCUUUUUGUUGUCGACACCGGCCAUAUUCAACCGGUUUUGAGCGUUAGUAAAUAGGUCAGUUAUUCUGCGCUCUGGCACACUCAGACGGAAGGUGCUCUGAAAUCGGAAUAGACAGAGUGAAUUUACGAACGCACCCUUCGUCUCCAAUGUUUAAUUAAAACAAUACAUUUGCACAAUGAUCACUUGUCUUUGAAAUACAUUUUUAGAGUUGUUGGUUAGCUAGCUAGCUAGCUAGCUAGCAGGUUUUUGGUCAUUAGCAUAGACGGGACACCAGUCAAAACAGAGAGCCUCCUCCAGUCGCGAGUUCUCACCUCAUAUGAGAAGAUGAAUGGCAAUAGCGCGACAGCUAGGUAAGAUACCAGUCAUUCUCGUAUAAAAUAGCUUAAAUAUGAGUCUUUUAUGUAUUAGAUAUUUUGUAUUUUGACUAGUGAUUGUUACUUUCAUUCAUGGUUUUUCAUCUUGCAGGUCUCUGGGCUUGUGAAAGAGGAAAAAAAAAUGCACUGAGUAGCCACAACUGAAGGUUAUUAAGACAGAUUGAUCAUUUUAAUGAAUUCAUGAUGAAAAACUAGUCUUUAGGUUGCAUGUUCAAACAUUUGGUGACCUAUAGUCACUGACAACUACAUGGAGUUGAUUACCUCGUUGGUUCAGGAAACAUGUCUGUGCCCAUGAGGAGAAGCUCACACAAACAGACCACUGUGCUUUUGAGGCAUCCCUUCCAAUGGUAAUUGAAGGAGUAAGCCAGUUCAGUGAGGCUACAGAAGACACAAGUCAGGAGUCACUUGGAGGUCACAAGUAAAGGACAACGGUUUUUUUCUUUAAGGUAAGCUACACUGUGGUGUCACGCACGCUCUUUCCCUCUCACACAUUUCUCGUUUGUUUAGUAUCUUCCUAUUUAUGGUCUUCUACCCUAUACCAGUAAAUCAUUUUUCUGUUUUGUAGAAAUGAGAAGAAUAAACUCAAUUUAUUUUGUUCAAGUUCAUUAUAGGUGUCAACACAAUGUGGCUGUCAGAUCCCAAACAGCCAAUGAUAGAAGACUGUCCAAGAACACCUGCCGUGAGGAGCAAAUGCACUCAUCUUCCGGGAAUAUUUGUUUUUUUGUGCGCAUGUACACAACAACAAGAUGUUUGUGGCAGACACCCUCAGGCACAGGGAUGUGUGGGCCAAAGCCAUAGAGACAUGGACCCUGCUCUUCUGAAAUGUGUCACUCUUCUUCAUCUAACCCGACGGUCCUGAAGAACGACAUGCAGAUGUAGAGGACAACAUCGUCACCUCGGCAAACAGAUCCCUCUGUCCAGACCUCCUGUUCUGUUACCGACAUUCUGCCUGAUUCGCCUGACCUGGUGGAAGACAAAGGCUUUCAGUUCCUUGGCCAAGGAUGAUGACUACAGUGAGACCCUGGUAGCAGUACAGAACAAUGAAAGCAAAUCCAUCAAGGUUGAUGUCUGCGAUACAAAGGGCAUUUGCUGCUCGGCCAUGGAGACCCAUUUCAGGAAGCUCUGGAUGAACGGGUGUUGCCGUUUGGGAAAACCCUGCUGAAGACCACAGUAGGCUGCACCCUCGGUGUGUAAUGGUUAAUCCUUGCUGAUCUUCCUCGGGCUGGUCGUUGCUGCUUCAUCUCUACUCAUCUUCGUAUCUGACAAGUAAACCAGUAAUAUUCAAGGUAUUGUUAGCAUACAGUACCAGUCAAAAGUUUGGACACCUACUCAUUCAAGGGUUUUUCCUUCUACAUUGUAGAAUAAUAGUGAAGACAUCAAAACUAUGAAAUAACACAUGAAAUCAUGUAGUAACCAAAAAAGUGUUAAACAAAUCUAUAUAAUAUUUUAGAAUCUUCAAAGUAGCCACCCUUUGCCUAGAUGAAAGCUUUGCACACACUUGGAAUUCUC